rnacentral:rRNA from 1 species
AUGUGGAAGCUCAAGAUCGCCGAGGGCGGCCCGUGGCUCUCGAGCGGCAACAAUCACGUCGGAAGAGAAACAUGGGAGUUUGACCAAAACGAUGCCGGAUCAAGCGAAGAGCGGGAUGCGGUCGACGCUGCACGGGCCGAAUUCCAGAAGAACAGGUUCAGGACAAGGCACAGCUCCGAUGUUUUGGCUCGCAUGCAGCUAGCAAAGAAGAAUAACUUCAGCCUUGAUCAGCAGAAACCAAAUGAUGAAGCUACUGUCGACAUCAAUGUAGCUACGGUAUCAGAGGCACUGAGAAGGGCACUCGGAUACUUCUCCGCCAUACAAGCGCAUGAUGGGCACUGGCCAGGAGAUUUUCCGGGGCCACUCUUUACCACAGCAACCAUGAUCAUAGUUUUGUAUGUCACCGAGUCAUUAGGUACUACGCUGUCAUCGGAGCAUCGCAAGGAGAUCUGUCGUUACUUGUACAACCGUCAGAAUAUAGAUGGAGGCUGGGGACUACACGCAGAAGGCGAAAGCUCCAUGCUCAGCUCAGCUCUCAACUACACUGCUCUAAGACUACUUGGUGAGGGCGCUGAUGAUGGACCGGAUAUGUCCAUGCCGAAAGCUCGGAAAUGGAUACAUGACCAUGGUGGUGCAACAAUGAUACCAAUCUUGGGAAAAGUGUGGCUCUCGGUACUUGGGGUUUUUGAAUGGUCAGGUGUAAACCCUAUGCCCCCAGAAUUGUUCCUUCUGCCAUCCUUCGUUCCUAUUCAACCAGGACGGUUGUGGAGUCACUUCAGAAUGGCUUUCAUCCCCAUGUCCUAUUUAUAUGGCAAGAAGUUUGUUGGCCCAAUAACAAAACUGGUUUUGUCAUUAAGAGAAGAGCUGCAUAUUCACCCCUACAAAAAGAUUAACUGGAAGCAAGCGCGCAAAUUAUGCGCAAAGGAAGAUGCCUAUCAUCCACAUACCUGGCUCCAAGAAUGCUUGUCUGACUGCCUUUACAGUUUCGGUGAACCGUUUCUGGCAUGUUGGCCGGUUUCCUACAUGAGACGAAGAGCUCUACGACAAAUUGCCGAUUUCCUGAAAUACGAAGAUGAUAUUUCACGGUAUAUCUGCAUCGGCGCCGCGCAAAAGGCAUUAUCCAUGUUAUGCUGUUGGUCUGAGGAUCCCAAUUCAGAUGCAUUCAAGCGCCACUUGGCUAGAGUCGCUGAUUUCCUAUGGCUCAGUGAAGAUGGCAUGAAAGUGCGGGUAUGUGCGGGCCAAUCAUGGGAUGUUGCUUUUGCCGUACAAGCGAUAUUAGCGUCUAAUGUUGCAGAGGAAUUUGGAACUACUCUCAGGAAAGCACAUCAUUUCAUAAAAGCAUCCCAGAUUGUGGACAAUCCUUCAGGUGACUUCGCCAGAAAGUACCGUCACAUCUCUAAAGGAGGAUGGGCCUUCCAGGUUGCAGACCAGGGCUGGCAGGUUUCAGAUUGCACAGCAGAAGCUCUCAAGGCUCUGUUACUGCUCUCGAAGUUUCCGUCAGAUAUCGUGGGUGAUCAGAUGGAAACAUGCCGCUUCCAUGAUGCGGUGAACGUAUUACUAUCUUUACAGAAUCCUAAUGGUGGCUAUGGAACUUGGGAGCUAGCUCGUACAUAUCCAUGGAUGGAGAAUUUAAACAUGACAGAGAUAUAUGCGGACAUCAUGGUGGAGCAUCAGUACGUCGAGUGUACCUCAUCGGUCAUCCAAGCAUUGGCCCUGUUUCGGCAAAAGUACCCCGGGCAUCGGGAAGAUGAAAUAGAACAGUGCAUCAGGAGAGCGACAGAAUUCAUUGAGAAGUUGCAGAAUGAAGACGGUUCAUGGUUUGGAUCAUGGGGUAUUUGCUUCACAUAUGGCACAUGGUUUGCUAUAGAGGGCCUAUCAGCAGUUGGACAGUGUUACAAUAACAGCACCUACAUUCGGAAGGGUUGCCAGUUUCUAUUAUCAAAGCAGCUAAGGAAUGGUGGAUGGGGUGAGAGCCAUCUUUCAUCCACAACCAAGGCAUACACCAACCUAGACGGGGAGAAAUCACACAUAGUCAACACCGCAUGGGCGAUGUUGGCGCUUAUGAAAGCUGGACAGGCCGAAAGAGAUCCGUCUCCUUUGCACGAAGCUGCAAGACUUAUCAUGAGCAUGCAGCUUGGCAAUGGUGACUUCCCACAGGAGGAAAUGAUUGGAAGUUUCUUGAAAAAUGGUCCCUUGUGUUAUAUGGCUUAUCGCAACAUAUUCCCCAUAUGGGCCCUUGGAGAGUAUCAUAGAUUAGUACUUUGCUCUGGCUAA